GAUACAUGUUCCCUUUUAUCAAGGUUAAAAGGCAUUUGUUUGUAUUUUUUAAACAAGACUGGUCAAACGGAAGCACACUGGCUGUUUUUUCACUACCACUCCCAUCAACCUCAAAGGCUGAGCUUUUCAAGAGUUGUGGUCCAGUAAGAGACUGGAUCGCAGGUCAAAGGUUGACCACCUGUAGUCGACUACCAAGGAUAUAUUCGCUGCAUAACAUUUUGG